rnacentral:lncRNA from 1 species
UCUUAAGACCAACGAUUUCCACUCUACAUCUUAGGGCUCUUGUUAGAUGCAGGGCUGCUCUACUGCCUUCAAUCUCCUUUGCUACAUUCUGAGAAUCCAGACAAAUACAUUUUUUGCUGUAGAAGCCCCUCAAUCUUUCUUGGAGUACUGUUAGCGUCCCACUCGUAUCUCUCUUCUUGGACUCCUGGAGGAACAGGGCUAGUUUCACAGGUUGAGAUACCUUGAGGG